UACGUAGGGUGCGAGCGUUGUCCGGAAUUAUUGGGCGUAAAGAGCUCGUAGGCGGUCUGUCGCGUCGGUCGUGAAAACUUGGGGCUAAACCCUGAGCUUGCGGUCGAUACGGGCAUGACUGGAGUUCGGCAGGGGAGACUGGAAUUCCUGGUGUAGCGGUGAAAUGCGCAGAUAUCAGGAGGAACACCGGUGGCGAAGGCGGGUCUCUGGGCCGAUACUGACGCUGAGGAGCGAAAGCGUGGGGAGCGAACAGG
rnacentral:rRNA from 1 species